rnacentral:rRNA from 1 species
ACGUAGGGUGCGAGCGUUAAUCGGAAUUACUGGGCGUAAAGCGUGCGCAGGCGGUUCGCUAAGCUAGGUGUGAAAUCCCCGGGCUUAACCUGGGAAUGGCGUUUAUGACUGGCGGGCUGGAGUACUGGAGAGGGGGGUGGAAUUCCACGUGUAGCAGUGAAAUGCGUAGAGAUGUGGAGGAACACCAAUGGCGAAGGCAACCCCCUGGGCCGAUACUGACGCUCAUGCACGAAAGUGUGGGGAGCAAACAG